rnacentral:rRNA from 1 species
AUUGAACGCUGGCGGCAUGCCUUACACAUGCAAGUCGAACGGCAGCACGGGGCAACCUGGUGGCGAGUGGCGAACGGGUGAGUAAUGCAUCGGAACGUACCUUUCAGUGGGGGAUAACGUAGCGAAAGUUACGCUAAUACCGCAUAUUCUGUGAGCAGGAAAGCAGGGGAUCGCAAGACCUUGCGCUGAUUGAGCGGCCGAUGUCAGAUUAGCUAGUUGGGGAGGUAAAGGCUCACCAAGGCGACGAUCUGUAGCGGGUCUGAGAGGAUGAUCCGCCACACUGGAACUGAGACACGGUCCAGACUCCUACGGGAGGCAGCAGUGGGGAAUUUUGGACAAUGGGGGCAACCCUGAUCCAGCCAUGCCGCGUGAGUGAAGAAGGCCUUCGGGUUGUAAAGCUCUUUCGGCCGGGAAGAAAUCGCACGGGCUAAUACCCUGUGUGGAUGACGGUACCGGAAUAAGAAGCACCGGCUAACUACGUGCCAGCCGCCGCGGUAA